UUAACCUUGUCAAAACUGGUACAGACAAGGGAAAUCUGACUGUUUAAUUAAAACAAAUCAUUGUGAUGGUCCCUAUGGAUGCUAACACAAUGUGAUUUAUGCCCAAUGCUCUGCAUGUGAAAGUGAAGAAAUUCAACCAAGUGGGGGUAAACGAUGGGAGUAACUAUGACUCUCUUAAGGUAUCCAGAUGCCUCUACAUCAUCUAAUUAGUGAUGCACAUGAAUGGAUUAAUGAGAUUCCCACUGUCCCAAUCUACUAUCUAGAGAAACCACAACCAAGGGAAUGAGCUUGGCAGAAUUAGAGGGGAAAGAAGACCCUGUUGAGCUUGGCUCUAGUCCAAAUUUGUGAAAUGACUUGAGAGGUGUAGAAUAAGUGGGAGUUGUUUUCAAUGCAAGUGAAAUACCACUACUUUAACGUUAUUUUACUUAUUUCAUGGGGCAGAGAUGAGGAAUUUCACAUAUGUUAAAAGAUAAUGCACAUUUCCUUUGUAUUCCUUUGUAUUCCUAAGAAAUAACCUUCAUCAUUUACUUGAUUGCAAUUUGGUACAAUUUCCAAAGUCAUUUUCCAUAGUUGUUUGAGAGGACAAAUUGUGUCCCUGGUUGUUAUUGCCUCUCUCUCUUCAU
rnacentral:ncRNA from 1 species